rnacentral:rRNA from 1 species
UACGGAGGGUGCAAGCGUUAUCCGGAUUCACUGGGUUUAAAGGGUGCGUAGGUGGGAAUGUAAGUCAGUGGUGAAAUCUCCGUGCUUAACAUGGAAACUGCCAUUGAUACUAUGUUUCUUGAAUUUUCCGGAGGUAAGCGGAAUAUGUCAUGUAGCGGUGAAAUGCUUAGAUAUGACAUAGAACACCAAUUGCGAAGGCAGCUCACUACACAAAGAUUGACACUGAGGCACGAAAGCGUGGGGAUCAAACAGG